UGCAUGUAACAGACAGUGAAUAAUUCUGCCAUUUUCGGCUGUUGUGGCCUUGCAAAAUGAGUUCCUGAAAAAUGAAUAUUUACACAGUCAGCAUCCAACAGAAAGGAUCCUUCUCAGUCCCUGUAAACUAGAAUUCUGUUUAUUUUUUCUUGUAUUGGUUUGUUUAAAUGACAAAAUUUACUUAGGAAUGACAGUUAAAAUGAUGUUGCACGAGGAAAACUGUGGCCAUUUUAUGUGAAGAAGGGAAAUACAGCCACAAAGAAGAAUACACUGUACAUUGAUGAUGCUAGUUGUACUUCACAAGGAACUUCUUAGUACUGGCUGUCUUCAACUGCAGCUGAAGUCCUGUACACUGAAAACUUUUGGACUUCUAUUCCUUCCAUAUCUACAAUAAGGAACACAAAGACUGAGUUGACUUGUGGCAAGCAGUAACGAAACUGCAGCAGAUGUAUUCAUGCUCUCCCUGUAUGCCUGGGCCUCCUGUUAAACCUGAAACCUUGUCUUCCUUCACCGUGAUCCUGCUAGGAACUUGCUAUUAUGGACUCUCCAAGGAUAAAAGAGACAAGUCACGGAUAUAUACAAAUAGCUAAGGAAAUAUGCCUUAGACAUAGUGCUACAUUAAAGAAAUAAAAAGAAGUGUCACUAAGAGGAAGAACGGACAUGCAGCAUUUCCACGGCAAAUAGCGUGCUGCUCCUUUAGCAGAAGUGAGCUUGGAGGAAUAUGCUCUCUGCCUCUGUUCUACAGUUUUCUCUGUUUUCUCCCUGAGUGCACUCACACUAUGAAAAAUGGGUGAUACCUUUUUUGUGCUACGUCUUUACUCCUCCUGUAUAUUCAGAAAAAGACCUGUUUGCCCUCAGUAUGAUGACAAAGUAUGUUAACAAAGCAGCAUCACAGAGGUGUGAAAGAGAAAGGCAUAAAAGCAUGAAGAGCUCCAGAGGCAUUUCUGAAUUCAAUCUGCAGUAGUGAUUGAAAAGUGGCAAGAAAGAAUUCUCUUCAAAGGUCUAACAGAAACUGCGGCAAAAUGCUGGUAGCAUUUUUGAUUCACUGAAGGCUGUGGGUAAACAAAAGUAUUUCCCAUACCUUGAGGAAGCUCAGGAGGUGUUGGCAUAUUUUUCCAGUCUAAAGUAAAGCAAGAGUCUCACUUAAUAUUGUGUAUGUUUAAGAUAACAGACUGUUCUUCAUUUAGAAAGAUGAAAUUCUUUAUCACAAGUCCUUUUAAAAAGAGUAAAAUUAUCUUAUCAGAAGUAUAUUUGAUAUUUUUAAGCUUAAGCAGCCAUCAGUAGAAAUUAAUCUGACCAGUUUCUCCACAACACUUUUUAUGCCAUACACUGAUCUUUUGGGGUCUCCAUUAAGAGUAGCUGUUGUGGUUUUCUAACAGUGGCUACCAUAAUAUUAUAAUAACAAAUCUAUAAUGCACACCUUGUGGAGGUGAAACAGCAACAUAAGGUGUUUCUGGUCUUAGUAUCUCCUUUACAAUGUUGUUUCAUUUUUUUUUCUGUCCUCAGGUAGCAAUCUGGGUGUAGCUGCACUGCCCAAGAAGCUUAUCUAUAUAUACAGAGGUCACGUGUCAUGUGCAGUGAUGCCUGUUGUCUCUACACCUCCCUGGAACAGUCAAGGCACAGCAAGGGAGGGGACAGGGAGAACGAGGGCUGGAGUGGAAUGGGAAUUCAAUUACCUUUCUUUUGUAGACCCAACCUCAUCAUAAAAACUGGUCUGAUAAUUUUAGCUUUAAUCAUCCCUAUCUGAACUCUCUUUGAUGUUAAAGAUGGGUUACUCAUGGCCCUUUCUUGUCAUAUUGCUGGCAAGCAUCACUAAAUCAGGUAGCAAGAUGCAGACCUUUCAGGAAACCCAGACAUGGAGAGAACAGUUUUUUCCAGCCCUUGAAAGUACAUGUGAUUGAUCUGUUUGCUGUACAAUUCCCCAGCCCCAGGCUAGGGAUAAAAUUUCUUAGAAGAGAGGCAAACUAAAUCAAUUCUCUUCUGUUGCUUGAGUAAAGUUGGUCAAUAGCUGAUAUUUUAAAGCACCUCCAUCAACAAUUUAUGAGAUUUAUUCAGUUUAUGCGAAAGAGCACUCCAUAAUCAUCAGUACACAGUGAUGGCCCAACAGGGUGUUGCUAACUGGAUAUCAUUUAAUAAAAGUUUUUCAAGUGCUCAGCAUGCUUUCAUCAGAGGGUGAUUUUUGUUUUUAUCCUUGUUUUGUAUGAACAUUAGGAGGUAAUCAAGAAGUUAUAAAAGUUGAUGAUUUAUGAAGCUCUUGAAGUGGUGGGUGAAAUUGUAGGCUGGAUGUAAUGCUCAUAUUGAUCACACUGUUGGUAAAAGCACGAUAAGACUGUUGACUGAAAGUACUAUUAAAAUAAAUUUUAUGACAGGUUGUUAAAUAGAGAUUUAGUAUUAUUUUCAUAACUGGAUUUUGGUUAAUAGAGGUCUUGGUCAACAGUGGAGUGCACAGUGUUGGUAGAGGCAUAAACCUCACAAAUAUUACCAAAACUGGUGGAUAGUCCUGGAGUGUUUUCAGAAUUAGGAACGUAGUUAGGUAGUUACCAAAUCUCCUACACCGGUUCUUCAGUUUCUUAGAUUGACAGAAGUAUUCUUGUCUCUUACACUAACCUUUUGAAAUUUUUGUUCAAUGAUCAUGGGUUCUACCCUUCUGCUCCUUUGAUACCUCAGUCUCCUCUUGCUUUGUAGAUAAUUUUUUAUACAAUUCUUCUACUGUUUUUUCCUUUUCCUUUUCUCACAUCCUGAGACUACUUUGAUUAUUGCCUUUCUUGUUCCAGUUUUGAAAACAGAAUGGAAAACAAAAUCAUGAUUUGUCUUUUUGCAUAUGUAGCCUCAUACCUGUUCGUUCCUUUAGCACUUUACCCACUAUAUGGAUAAGACAUGUUGGAAGUACUUUCCAAACCUACAGGUGUUGGUGUGUCUCUAUUCAAAGGUUUGGUUCCAAAAAACCACAGAAAGAACAGACUGGAAAUAUUUUCUAUAAGCCUGUUACAUACACAGGAAUUCUACUGUAUAUUAAAACUAGACUAAAUUUGUGAUUAAAGAGUAAGAAUAAUAUUUAUGUGUGUUGCUGUUACACUUUAAAUAUAUUAUAUAGUCUGUCCUGAAGCAUGUAAAUAAGUACAAAAGAUUAAAAAGUAAAUUA